CAAGCCCUCACCUCCUAAUGGUUCUGAACCCUUCCAGCGCAGGGCCACCAGCUGGGAACCAUGUCUCUAAACACACAGGCCUUUGGGGAACACUUCCUAUUUAAACCAUAGUAGUUAUUAUAUUAUACUCAUUUCCCCAUCGGAGGAAACAAAUUUAUGUCGUGAAGUUCAUCGGGGCUUUAGAACUGCAGGAAGCUGGACAUGUUGGUACAUACAGCAAUCCCAGCACUCAGCGGGAUGGCUGCAAAUUGGAGGUCAGCUGCAGCUGACAGUGAGGACAAAGCCAGUCAGUGUACAACCCGUAUCAAUCAAGAUGAGCAUCAUUUUACUAUGCUCAUCAUUCAAAGCCCCUUGUGUGGCUUUGUCCACAUAAAAUAAGGCCAGGUGAGUUGCCCCUUCACAGGAAGAGACCCACGGAGGAAACAACGCUUUUAAUUACGUCACUGUUACAAUGUAUAACCCGUCCUGAGUUUCCCUUCCUUGUCCCUUGUACUGAUUAGCUAUAUUGUAUAUAGGACCAGA